GAACUCCAGAUGGACAUAAUGACCUGGAAGAGAACAAAAUCUUUAUUGAUAAAAUCUGUAGAUGACACGGAGAUUGAGGGUGUAGUAAAUAAUGAAGAGGAUAGAUCACUGAUACAGAGCGAUCUGGAUCUCUUGGCACAGUGACACUUUCUACCAGAAGGGCAAAGUUCAUCCAUGUAGGUGACAGAGCUGUCUUGUGGGGUCGGCCUGAGACUGUGGAACAAAUUCUCACCGGAACUAAGGACCUUCAGACACUUCACCAGCUUCCAUUCCACAUAAAAGGUGACAUCAAAGCAGAAUUUUCAGAAGCCUUCAUGAUCCAUCGCUAACUUUGAGUGCUCAGUAACUGACCUUCCAAUGAUCUGUUGUAUGCCAUCCAUCUGUCUCCUUGCUGGUCAUCUGCUACCAUAAUGACCCUCCACCAUUCCUUCUGUAAUAACUUUCUCAAGGAUUUUCCCAUCUCUACACCUAAUGUGACCAAAGUACAUAAUUUGCAACUGUUGAUAUCCAACAUCAGGAUUUGCUUCUCUCCAAUAAUAUUUCUAACAUAGGCAUUCAUCUUUUUUUCUAUCCAGGAGAUACACAAGAAUCUUUGCCAGCACUACAUUUCAAAAGCUUCAGUUUUCUUCUUAUCAAAAGCAUUAACUUCCCAUUAUUCACAUCCAUAAAUGGCUAUGGAAAAAGUUAGAUUUUUCACUAGCCGCACCU